rnacentral:rRNA from 1 species
AACACGUGGGUAACCUGCCCAUAAGACUGGGAUAACUCCGGGAAACCGGGGCUAAUACCGGAUAACAUUUUGAACUGCAUGGUUCGAAAUUGAAAGGCGGCUUCGGCUGUCACUUAUGGAUGGACCCGCGUCGCAUUAGCUAGUUGGUGAGGUAACGGCUCACCAAGGCAACGAUGCGUAGCCGACCUGAGAGGGUGAUCGGCCACACUGGGACUGAGACACGGCCCAGACUCCUACGGGAGGCAGCAGUAGGGAAUCUUCCGCAAUGGACGAAAGUCUGACGGAGCAACGCCGCGUGAGUGAUGAAGGCUUUCGGGUCGUAAAACUCUGUUGUUAGGGAAGAACAAGUGCUAGUUGAAUAAGCUGGCACCUUGACGGUACCUAACCAGAAAGCCACGGCUAACUACGUGCCAGCAGCCGCGGUAAUACGUAGGUGGCAAGCGUUAUCCGGAAUUAUUGGGCGUAAAGCGCGCGCAGGUGGUUUCUUAAGUCUGAUGUGAAAGCCCACGGCUCAACCGUGGAGGGUCAUUGGAAACUGGGAGACUUGAGUGCAGAAGAGGAAAGUGGAAUUCCAUGUGUAGCGGUGAAAUGCGUAGAGAUAUGGAGGAACACCAGUGGCGAAGGCGACUUUCUGGUCUGUAACUGACACUGAGGCGCGAAAGCGU